rnacentral:rRNA from 1 species
CAGUAGCCGCGGUAAUACGUAGGUGGCAAGCGUUGUCCGGAAUUAUUGGGCGUAAAGGGCUCGCAGGCGGUUUCUUAAGUCUGAUGUGAAAGCCCCCGGCUCAACCGGGGAGGGUCAUUGGAAACUGGGAAACUUGAGUGCAGAAGAGGGGAGUGGAAUUCCACGUGUAGCGGUGAAAUGCGUAGAGAUGUGGAGGAACACCAGUGGCGAAGGCGACUCACUGGUCUGUAACUGGCGCUGAGGAGCGAAAGCGUGGGGAGCGAACAGGAUUAGAUACCCCUGUAGUCCCUGUCUCUUAUAC